rnacentral:sRNA from 10 species
GGCAGCACGGGAGAGCGACCCGUCGGCUGGCAGUCAAAGCAACCCUUGGCACGAGCGAUUGUCAGGGGCGGCUUUCUGCGCUUUUCAGAAAUCGGAAGAAAUUUGUACCUUUUGAGACGAAGGUGUGUAUACCGACGAACUUGCUUUCAGCGGAUACCGCAUCGCUCGGGGAGAACGCUGUUCUCCUCGCGGUUCCGUCGCCCCA